GACGAACGCUGGCGGCGUGCUUAACACAUGCAAGUCGAACGGAAAGGCCCUGCUUUUGUGGGGUGCUCGAGUGGCGAACGGGUGAGUAACACGUGAGUAACCUGCCCUUGACUUUGGGAUAACUUCAGGAAACUGGGGCUAAUACCGGAUAGGAGCUCCUGCUGCAUGGUGGGGGUUGGAAAGUUUCGGCGGUUGGGGAUGGACUCGCGGCUUAUCAGCUUGUUGGUGGGGUAGUGGCUUACCAAGGCUUUGACGGGUAGCCGGCCUGAGAGGGUGACCGGCCACAUUGGGACUGAGAUACGGCCCAGACUCCUACGGGAGGCAGCAGUGGGGAAUAUUGCACAAUGGGCGGAAGCCUGAUGCAGCAACGCCGCGUGCGGGAUGACGGCCUUCGGGUUGUAAACCGCUUUCGCCUGUGACGAAGCGUGAGUGACGGUAAUGGGUAAAGAAGCACCGGCUAACUACGUGCCAGCAGCCGCGGUGAUACGUAGGGUGCGAGCGUUGUCCGGAUUUAUUGGGCGUAAAGGGCUCGUAGGUGGUUGAUCGCGUCGGAAGUGUAAUCUUGGGGCUUAACCCUGAGCGUGCUUUCGAUACGGGUUGACUUGAGGAAGGUAGGGGAGAAUGGAAUUCCUGGCGGAGCGGUGGAAUGCGCAGAUAUCAGGAGGAACACCAGUGGCGAAGGCGGUUCUCUGGGCCUUUCCUGACGCUGAGGAGCGAAAGCGUGGGGAGCGAACAGGCUUAGAUACCCUGGUAGUCCAUGCUGUAAACGGUGGGUACUAGGUGUGGGGUCCAUUCCACGGGUUCCGUGCCGUAGCUAACGCUUUAAGUACCCCGCCUGGGGAGUACGGCCGCAAGGCUAAGACUCAAAGGAAUUGACGGGGCCCCGCACAAGCGGCGGAGCAUGCGGAUUAAUUCGAUGCAACGCGUAGAACCUUACCUGGGUUUGACAUGGAUCGGGAGUGCUCAGAGAUGGGUGUGCCUCUUUUGGGGUCGGUUCACAGGUGGUGCAUGGCUGUCGUCAGCUCGUGUCGUGAGAUGUUGGGUUAAGUCCCGCAACGAGCGCAACCCUUGUUCACUGUUGCCAGCACGUUAUGGUGGGGACUCAGUGGAGACCGCCGGGGUCAACUCGGAGGAAGGUGGGGAUGACGUCAAGUCAUCAUGCCCCUUAUGUCCAGGGCUUCACGCAUGCUACAAUGGCUGGUACAGAGAGUGGCGAGCCUGUGAGGGUGAGCGAAUCUCGGAAAGCCGGUCUCAGUUCGGAUUGGGGUCUGCAACUCGACCUCAUGAAGUCGGAGUCGCUAGUAAUCGCAGAUCAGCAACGCUGCGGUGAAUACGUUCCCGGGGCU
rnacentral:rRNA from 1 species